rnacentral:rRNA from 1 species
GACGAACGCUGGCGGCGUGCUUAACACAUGCAAGUCGAACGGAAAGGCCCUUCGGGGUACUCGAGUGGCGAACGGGUGAGUAACACGUGGGUGAUCUGCCCUGCACUUUGGGAUAAGCCUGGGAAACUGGGUCUAAUACCGAAUAGGACCACGGCCUUCAUGGGUUGUGGUGGAAAGCUUUUGCGGUGUGGGAUGGGCCCGCGGCCUAUCAGCUUGUUGGUGGGGUAAUGGCCUACCAAGGCGCCGACGGGUAGCCGGCCUGAGAGGGUGACCGGUCCCAGUGGGACUGGGAUACGGCCCAGAGACCUACGGGCGGCAGCAGUGGGGAAUAUGGCACAAUGGGCGCAAGCGUGAUGGAGCGACGCCGGGUGUGCGAUGAAGGCCUUCGGGUUGUAAAGCACUGUCGAGGGGGAGAAACGCCCGCAAGGGCUUGAUCUAUCCCUGGAGGAAGCACGGGCUAAGUUCGUGCCAGCCGCCGCAGUAACAC